CAUUGAUCAUCAUAAAUCACCAGUGGCGAUUUUAGCAUAUAUGUCUUGGUGAGGCAAACUUUAAAAAAUAAAAAAAAAGGCAAUCAUAUAUACCUACCGAGGAAGGAUGGAAAGCUACACAGGAGAGUGAUUUUUACUAAGGAGGAUGUGCUGACCGAGAUGCAUGCUGGCCAUUUCAGAGUGAAGCGCAUGAUUGGCAAAACCAACCUACGUUUCUUCUGACGGGGAAUUGUCAAGGAGGUGGACAGCUGGGCAAGUGAAAUAACCUUUCAAUCACAUUCUAUUAUAUCUGUUAUAUUAUGAAUUUCGUUUUGUAUGAUACCUAUCAAGGAUGAGACUUGCGAGGCCACCUCCAAGGCGAUGGUGGACAUUUUCAACAUCUGACCCCCAGGGGGAAUCCUGUCCACCAGAACCAGUGAGUUCGGAUCAGUCUGAUUCUCUGUGCUCUGAGCCGGAGGGGAACCAGCAUGAGGACCUAGGGGUUCUGCCCAACACCCAGACGUGGAUCUACCUGAUGUCCUCCAUUACCAACCACCCUCCAACUUUUCAUUACAUCAUCUACAGCUACAGUUGUUGACAUGUUGUCAUUAUCUGCUAAAAUAAUCUGCUCUAUCAUACCGAGCACAUAAUAUGUGAGAUACACAGAUGAACUAAAAACACUAGCACUGCAAACACUCAAAACAAAGAGAGCAGCAGUGCCUGGACUUUGCAGUCUCCCUCUUCAAGUCCCCCUUCUGAGACUGGCUGCCUGUUGAGAACAAGUGACAGGCAGAAUCUCACAACCACCUCCUCUAUAUUCCAAACACCAGAAUUCAGUAUUUUUGUCUAUGAUUGCCAUCUGAGUGCACA
ensembl:lncRNA